rnacentral:lncRNA from 1 species
GUGUGUGUGUGUGUGUGUGUGUGUGUGUGUGUGUGCGAGCACGCCCAUCUAUAGAGAGAAUAACAGCUUCACGCACAAGUGAAAAAGAACCUCUCCCCCACCACAAACAUGCAAGAUGAGUCGGUCCUCAACAGGCCAUGACGAUGCUCCUUCUGCAGCUACAGCAAACAUGUUCAACCACCCAGACUCCUUCUUUGCCUUCCCGGCUUCCAUGUGUCAAGACAUCCUGGGAAGCAGCUUCAGGGUCCACAGGCCCGGCACAGCCCUAGGAGGCUGAGCGAACUGGCAGAGAACCCAGGUCUCCAUCUACGGCUCCCCGAGUGCUCUCCGUGAGUGAGGAGCCCAGCCAGAGACCCCUCGUCUCCUGGAAUCUUAAAGCCGGCCUCCCCAGCCCUCAUCACUGCCGCCACCCUGCCCACUGUGUGCCGCACCUGUGGAAUCUUGCACAGUAUUUGCUUUAAAUGAACUCCUUUCCUUUUCUUCAGAUUUAUUUGUGCAAUAAAAUUGUAAGUCUGCUGUAAGUGGAAGGAACACCAGCAUGAGCUGCCUGACGCAGAGAAUAACUGUCAAGGCAAACACGUUGAAAGCCAAUCAGAAAGAGUGGGUUGAUGUGGAUGUGACGGAAACCUAGAUGCUGGUGGAUGGUCUAAAGUAAAAACCUCAGCUGGGUGUCUUCGCCAGAAAUUCCAGAUAAUAGUUUUGAGGGUGGGGCAAGAAUUGCCAGGGCAAAUGGGGUCUGGAGCCGGGGUGGUUCCCGCGUUCCAGUAGGGUGCCUGGAAGGCAGAGGAACUCAGACAACACGUUGAAAGUGCUGCAAAUGGAGCCUGGUACACAGCAAAUGCUCCAUAACUGUUCCCUUCUUUUCACCACCUACAGGGUCAGUGGCAGGGCGCAGAAAAGAGUUAACAGAGUGGGUCUGAGACUGUUCUUCUUAGAAAGCCCUGAAUGCAGGGCUGGCACUUAGCUGGCGUCUUGGAAAUUUGGAUCGUAAACAGCUCCCUCUGCGAAUAGAAAACUUGCCCUAAAUGGUAAGAAUACUCACUGCACCUAAGGUGUUUGUGCAAAUACUGAACACUUGCUUUUCCUUCUGGGAGUCUGGAAUUUUAGCACGAGGUAGGCAGAGGGUGCCAUGUGACCAGCCCCCAGUGAAAGCUUUGAGCACUGAGUCUCUGAUAAACUUCCAGGAGGACAAUCAUUUGCACAUGUUGACACAAUUCACAGCUGGAGGAAUGAAAUGCAUCCUGCGUGACUCUACGGGGAAAGGAUUUCUGCAAGCCUGUGUCUGGCUUCCUCCAGAUUUUCCCUUUGCUGAUCCUGCUUUAUCUCCUUUCUCUGUGAUACAUCUUAGCCGUGAAUGCGACCUUUGCCGAGCACUGUCGUACUUGUGAAUCACCAGUCUGGGGGCAGGCUUGCCCCCCCGCCCCCUGCACAAGAAGUAGCAGCAGUGACAGGGGUUGGUGUCAGUUGGCUGGACCUAAAGGAAGCUCCCACAGAACCCAUCCCACCCUAGGUUGUGGGUGGAAUCCUGAUCUUUGUGGACCGGAACUGGGGGCUCCAGGUUGAGAGGGCUGGUGGGCUGCAAGAGGGUGGGUACAUAAAACUGAGGGCCAGCGGUCAUAGCGGGGCCACGGAAACCAGUAACAGAGGCGUCAUGGAGGCCCAACACCAGAUGGGCCCUGUCACAUCACAGUGGACGCCCCACGGAGAAAGGACAUCAUCUGACAGGAUGCUACUCCCUUCGGCCAGGAGAAGAGCUGGCCAUCCUCCGAAAGUCUACAAACAAUAACUGCUGGAGAGGGUGUGGAGAAAAAGGAACCCUAUGACACUGUUGGUGGGAUUGUAAAUUGGUGCAACCACUGUGGAAAGCAGUAUGGAGAUUCCUCAGAAAACUAAACGUAGAACUACCAUUUGAUCCAGCAAUCCCACUCCUGGUCUUCUAUCCAGAGAAAACCACGACUCGCAAAGACACAUGUACUCCGAUGUUCAUUGCAGCACCCUUUGCAAUAGCCAAGACAUGGAACCAACCUAAAUGUCCAUCGACAGAGGAGUGGAUCCAGAAGAUGUGGUACAUAUACACAAUGGAAUAUGACUCAGCCAUUAAAAUGAACGAAAUACCAGCAUUUUUAGCAACAUGGAUGGACCUAUAAAUUAUCAUGCUAAGUGAGGUCAGCCGUACAAUGAGACACCAACAUCAAAUGCUUUCACUGACACGUGGAAUUUGAAAAAAGGACAGACGGAACUUCUUUGCAGAACAGAUGCUGAAUCACAGACAUAGAAAAACUUAUGGUCUCUGGAGGAGACAGUUUGGGGGGAAGGGGGAUGUGCUUGGGUUAUGGGAUGGAAAUCCUGUGAAAUUGGAUUGUUAUGAUCAUUAUAUAACUACAGAUGUGAUAAAUUCAUCUGAGUAAUUAAAAAAAUCACAUUCUAAAAAAAAAAAAACAGAGGCCAUUUAAAAAUAAAUAAAAAAUAAAAAACAAAAAACCUCUGUUCCUUAAGUCAAAAAAAAAAAGCGGAAGAGGUGUCUUUAAAGGGAAUGCGUUUACCAGUCGGGGCACACAAGGGCAAAGGUAAGACCACGGCAGUCCUCAAACCUGACCAUGCAUCAGGAUGACCAGGGGGCCGGGGGCGGGGGGGCGAUGUUAGCACACAGACUGCUGGGCCCACGCUUGGAGCAUCCUGCAGACAAUUGGCUUUUUAACGAGUUCCCAGGUGAUACCCAGGUCUCCAGGAGCCACACUUUGAAGACGACUGAUACAGAGACAUACAGCUCCAUGCGCCACAUCUGAAUUGUGUCUGAGGGAGGGGAACCUGAUGAACAGGCCUCCACGGCUCAGCAGGAGGAAGAAUUCCCUGUCCCAAGCUGCAUGAGCAACUCUAGACAAUGAGAGCCCAGGAGUCCACUCUUGCUUCUCCAGGCUGGAGAAAGGCUCAGGAGAGGUGGGCUUAUCAAAAGCCCAAGUGAGGCUAUCUGGGUAGAGCUCUGGGGAAAUGGAACUGUGCUUGGCUCCAGAACCUUCUAAGAGGUUCUUCUUCUAACCUUCUAAGAAGAUGCACACACCCACUCUGUCUCGGGCACCUUUCACCAGGCACGGAGUAGCAGGAUGUCC